UGCAACUUACCGUCGUGCAACGAACAUCGUGGAGGGCCACAACGAUUGCUGUUGCGAACUAAAAGUUAUUUUUUGAAUCCGUGUUCCACACCACAUUUAUCUCAGUAUCUUGGUACAAAUCUAUCUUAGACUGGAUUAUGAUCCUCCCGUAAAGAAGUAAGCGCCAUUUAAGCAAAGAAGAAGAUCAUAAAAAGCAUGAUUUUUAGUCUUGUAAAGUUGUUGAAUUGCCAGAAUCCUGAAGUUUAUAAUACGUGACAAUGAGUGACGAUCACGAAUGUAGAACAACAAUGAGACGACAUUGAUAAAGAAACUUUUCUGACUAAUUGAAACUGAAGUGUCACGAAUAAUAUACCAUUAGAACAAUUCGUUGUUUAUUUGAUAAUAAAAGAAAAUUACUCAUCGAAACUACCUAUAAAAUUAGUAAAUUAAACUUUUAAGAAGAAAUCACAUGAAAUAUUAAAUGUAUCAAUAACAGCGAUAAUCAAUUAGAUAAAUUACAAUGUCAAACUCUACAAUUAACAAAAAUUAUUAUAGAAUUAAAGACAAAGUCCUAUCUACAAACUAAGAGAGAACAAAGGAUCAAAUUUUACAUUAAAUAAAAGAGGAUUAUUUGAACCAAACAGCAGUAAUGCACACACUGUGGAGAAUUUGAAAUAUCAAAGAUGCCAAAAAUAAUCAAGUGGAUCAAGUACACUACCAAAAAAAUGAACAAUUACCAAAAUCCUUUAAAAGGAAAACAAAGAGAGGACAAAGAAUUGAAUUUGAAGCUAAAAAAGUAGGACUAUUCAAUCCAACCUGCAAUAAUGUACAAACCGUGGGAAAAUCGCAUGAUAACACUGAUAAUCAAAUGGACCGAGUGCAAUGCGAAAACCAAUUAACAAAAUCCUCUACAGGACUGAAAACAAAGUUUAUCUAUAAACAAAGAAAGAAGGGAAUCAAAUCUUAAACUGGACAAGAAAAAGUAGGAUUAUUCAAAACUUUGAAAUAUAAAUCAAUUAAUAAGUAUAGCGUUAUCUUUAUAGCGUUAUCUCUAUAGUAAAAUCGAGUAAUUCUGAUUAUUUUGUAAUACAAGAAUACUUAAAUAAAGAUAAGAAUAAUGUAAAUUUGUUA